rnacentral:rRNA from 1 species
CCUACGGGUAGCAGCAGUGAGGAAUAUUGGUCAAUGGACGAGAGUCUGAACCAGCCAAGUAGCGUGAAGGAUUACUGCCCUAUGGGUUGUAAACUUCUUUUAUAUGGGAAUAAAACGUUCCACGUGUGGGAUUUUGUAUGUACCAUAUGAAUAAGGAUCGGCUAACUCCGUGCCAGCAGCCGCGGUAAUACGGAGGAUCCGAGCGUUAUCCGGAUUUAUUGGGUUUAAAGGGAGCGUAGGUGGAUUGUUAAGUCAGUUGUGAAAGUUUGCGGCUCAACCGUAAAAUUGCAGUUGAAACUGGCAGUCUUGAGUACAGUAGAGGUGGGCGGAAUUCGUGGUGUAGCGGUGAAAUGCUUAGAUAUCACGAAGAACUCCGAUUGCGAAGGCAGUUCACUGGACUGCAACUGACACUGAGGCUCGAAAGUGUGGGUAUCAAACAGGAGUAGAUACCCGGGUAGUC